CACAGAGUAGAUCGUCGGCAGCGUCAGAUGUGUAUAAGAGACAGAGUUAACAUUAAUAGUGUUUUAUGGGUUGUAAUACUGAAAGGCUAGAGUCUAGAAGAGGAAAGUCGUAUCUUUAGUGGAGAGGUGAUAUUUGAUGAUAUUAAAGAGACGAUCUAAUGCGAAGGCAACUUUCUGGUUUAGACUGACGCUGAGGUACUGAAGCAUGGGGAGCGAAUUGGAUUAGAGACCCAAGUAGUCCAUGCCGUCAACGAUGAGUGUUACAUAUUGGAAUAUAAGAUUUUAGUUUAAAAAGGCUAAAUUCUUUAUUUAAUUCCGGUGUGUCAGCUAACGCAUUAAACACUCCGCCUGGGGAAUACGGUCGCAAGAUUAAAACUCAAAGGAAUUGCGGGGAAGCUGCAGCAGCGGUGGAAUAUGUGGUUUAAUUUGAUACAACGCGAAAAAUCUUACCAGCUCUUGAAAAGUAAUAGAAUUUAUGCAAUUGUGUAUAUAUUUUUUUAUCGAAUUUAGAUGAUAAAUUUAGAAUCUAUUAUACAGGUGUUGCAUGGCUGUCGUCAGUUCGUGUCGUGAGAUGUAUGAUUAAUUUCUUUAACGGGCGCAACCCUUUUUGUUUGUUAAAUUAAACAAUACUGCCGUCGAAAUGUCGGAGGAAGGUGAGGAUGACGUCAAGUCAGCAUGGCCCUUAUGAGCUGGGCUACACACGUAUUACAAUGGUUGUGACAAAGAAUAGCAAUAGUGUGAACUGGAGCAAAUUUCAGAAAAGCAAUCUUAGUUCGGAUUAAACUCUGUAAUUCGGGUUUAUGAAGGAGGAAUCGCGAGUAAUCGCAAAUCAGCAUGUUGCGGUGAAUUUGUUUACAGCUUCACGACACACCGCCCGUCACGCCAUGGGAAUUGGUUUUAUUCGAAAUAAACUUAUUUAUUUUAUUUAUUACUUUAAUUUUUGUUAAAUUAAUCUUUAAAAAAACCGGUACACCUACUCGUAAAUAUUUAUUUAAUGCGCGUAAUAAUAUUUUAACCGGCAGUG
rnacentral:rRNA from 1 species